ensembl:lncRNA
CCCCCCCCCCCCCCCCCCCCCCCCCCCCCCCCCCCCCCCCCCCCCCCCCCCCCCCCCCCCCCCCCCCCCCCCCCCCCCCCCCCCCCCCCCCCCCCCCCCCCCCCCCGCGCGGGGGGCCGGUGAGGGGCGCGAGGGGCUCGAGGGGCGCGGCCCGACGGGGAGCGGGGUCCCGGGGCCAUAGAGAGAGCGCAGGCGGGGAGCGGGGCCGGACAGGGGGCUGAGGGGUUCCCGCGGUUCCGGGCACCGAGCGCAGCCCUGCACGGCAGCGGGACGGACCCUCCGCGCUGCCCGGCGGGCGGGGACGGGCCGGUGCGCACAGCCCGGGUUGCUCGCUCCGUGCCCUCGCGGACCGCCUGCAGUGUUGAUGAAUUUCGGGGAGCCCGGUUCCGCUGUCUCACCGAGUACUGUGUGCGGCUCCGCCGGCCUUGGCACUGUCGCUCUGGGCGCUGUGCCACUGCCGGCCCCUUCCUCUGCCUCUGUCAGGCGGGGGGAAGCUAAAAAUUCCCUUUUACAAUCUGUUUCAAGCAAAAUCCUUUACCCGCGGAUCCCAGUUAACUCUGGACUGCCCCUGUAUUGCCACGCAAAUGAAAGCACACCAAAGCCGUAGCAGACGCGGGUUCCGCGGCCAAUGCCGCCCUCUUGUGAGACCAUUUCUUUUAGCCUCCAUCGCAGUCACAAGAAUGACAGGGAUUAAUUAUGACCUGACAACCUGACAAGGUUCAGUCAGGCUGGGGCUUCGACCUUCAGCUAGGAUUCAAAAACACAAAAUGAAAGGAGUCUUCAAGUCUAAAAGCUCAGAAACAUUGAAAGAAGGCUGAAAUCAGCCCCAAGUGGAGCCUUUCCAGGCUAUGAGGAACCUGGAACGCUGCUCCUGGAGGAGAGGAAUUCCGUGGUACCUCAGGGGUGCUGGGGCAGUGACACUGGGGUAGUGUGACAGGGACAAGUUCUACCGACUCUCCUGGCUGGAGGGCAGAGGGAUGGGACCACCCAAAGCAUGUUCUGUGUGCUGAAUUUGGCUUUAUCCUGGUUUACAUAAUGAUUGAAGUUAUCCUGUGGCAAAAUGUUGCCCUAAGAACAAAGCAGCCAGGAAACAUACUUCCACGUUGAGGUUCUCAAAAACUGUAAUUCAGGGAAAACUACAGGAUUUACUUAAAAGAAUGUAUUCUAAGUACAUUGAUUUGCUUUCUAGUUCCUGAGCAUUAGGUUUCAUUUUUUCCCCACAUGCUUUCCACAGCUAUGCAGACUCUUGCUUUCCCUCUGUUUGAAAUGCACACUCAAAGGUAAAACCAGGUAAACUGGAAAGGAAAAAACAACCACAAGCUCCACUUGUGUUCCAAUGGUGCAUCCUUUUCCCUAGAGGUGACCCAAGCUCCUCUCUGCAGCCAUUCCCUGAGAAGCCACUGUCCCCCACAUUUCCUCUGCCAGGAGCCAGAACCAAGGAGGCAUUUACACAAAGAACAGCAAUCCCGAUAAAAUUCAGCAUUUUCAAACUCUUCUCCCACAUAAAUGGCUGCAAGGAAAACCUUUGGCAGGCUCUUCCCAUGGACUCGU